CCUACGGGAGGCAGCAGUGGGGAAUAUUGGGCAAUGGGCGCAAGCCUGACCCAGCAACGCCGCGUGAAGGAAGAAGGCUUUCGGGUUGUAAACUUCUUUUCUCAGGGACGAAGAAAGUGACGGUACCUGAGGAAUAAGCCACGGCUAACUACGUGCCAGCAGCCGCGGUAAUACGUAGGUGGCAAGCGUUAUCCGGAUUUACUGGGUGUAAAGGGCGUGUAGGCGGGACUGCAAGUCAGAUGUGAAAACAAAGGGCUCAACCUUUGGCCUGCAUUUGAAACUGUAGUUCUUGAGUACUGGGGAGGCAGACGGAAUUCCUAGUGUAGCGGUGAAAUGCGUAGAUAUUAGGAGGAACACCAGUGGCGAAGGCGGUCUGCUGGACAGCAACUGACGCUGAGGCGCGAAAGCGUGGGGAGCAAACAGGAUUAGAUACCCUAGUAGUC
rnacentral:rRNA from 1 species